GAGGGAGACACCUUUGCAGAUGGAGAGUUCCUUUACAAACAUAAAUGUCUCUUACAAAGGAUGCUUCUCUCUCCUGCCUGUUCUGCCCUUGAGACACAAUAAUGUGUGGCGCACAGCACUGCGGCAGCAUCAGGGACUCGCACGGUGCCCAGAGCUGACAGACUGUCCUGAAUAAUGGCUGCAGCCUUCCCAAAGCACUAUGGGGACCUCCAUCUAUACUGCACCAGACAACAAUGACCCCUAACCCCACAAUACAUCUUGUUCAUCAUUCACAUGAAGAAGAUUGCUUAUUUUUUGAUCAACACAAAUAUUUUAUCUUCUAUCUCUUCUAUCAGAACUGACAAGAUUAGUGUAUUGGAGGCAUAGCUAUUCUGGCUUCUAACAACAGAGUGAGGAGGCGCAUACAAAAUCCUGUACCGUGGGGCUGCUCACUCCAAAAUAGUUGGGAAUCAAGUUUCAGAUGGGAAUCAAGCCAUCAACUAAUGCAUCGCGCUGGUUUAUAGGACUCUUGAGUUAUAGACAUAGCAUGAAAACUCUGGAGAACUGCAGCUAAGAAGAAUGGAGAAGGUCUAAAUUGAUGUUCCGAGCAUAUUUAGAGGCAUAGAACCUAUUGGGAAAAGUCUAAAGGGAAAGGGAACGUGCAGGAACCUAAAGUCUGAGCAGAUCAAUGAGCUGGAAUUUAAGUCAAUAGGAAAGGUGAAAACGACAGUCAAU
rnacentral:lncRNA from 1 species